rnacentral:rRNA from 1 species
AUUGAACGCUGGCGGCAGGCCUAACACAUGCAAGUCGAACGAGUGGCGGACGGGUGAGUAAUGUCUGGGAAACUGCCUGAUGGAGGGGGAUAACUACUGGAAACGGUAGCUAAUACCGCCUACCAUCAGCUGUGCCCAGAUGGGAUUAGCUAGUGGGUGGGGUAACGGAGCACCACGGCGACGAACCCUAGCUGGUCUGAGAGGAGGAACAGCCACACUGGAACUGAGACACGGUCCAGACUCCUACGGGAGGCAGCAGUGGGGAAUAUUGCACAAUGGGCGAAAGCCUGAUGCAGCCAUGCCGCGUGUAUGAAGAAGGCCUUCGGGUUGUAAAGUACUUUCAGCGGGGAGGCGUUACCCGCAGAAGAAGCACCGGCUAACUCCGUGCCAGCAGCCGCGGUAAUAC